CGGGUAUUUUUUUCCAUGGUAGUUUUCUUCUCCUCCCAAAAUGUAAAAUUUACAUCUAUAGAUUUUAAUAGUAUUUAUAUUUAAAUAAAGUUACAUAUUCAAAUUCCAUGUCUUUAAUUUAUUAAUAUUUUGUUUAUUAAAUUAUAUUUUUAAAUUUUUUUUAGAUUUAAACUUAUUUCAUAUUUUCAAUGUAUAUAUUUUUCAGAUCUAAUUUCUUUUUGAUAGAAUAGACUUCAAAUGAAAUCUAGUUAAAAGUUAGGGUUGGUAGACUUCACUCGAAGUCUACUAGCCUUGACUUUAAAGCAUAUUUCAUUAGAAGUUUAAUCAAAUAUGAUUUAAUUUUUAUCUUGUUUUUCAUAAUUUUAUCUUAUUUUCAGGUAUUCUCUUCCAAAGUUUUCAAAUCAUCUUCCCAAAAAUGUAAGUUUUACAUAUAUUCAUUAUAAGAUAUAUU
rnacentral:lncRNA from 1 species